UAAUACGGAGGGUGCGAGCGUUAAUCGGAAUCACUGGGCGUAAAGCGCACGUAGGCUGCUUGGUAAGUCAGGGGUGAAAGCCCGCGGCUCAACCGCGGAAUUGCCUUUGAUACUGCCGAGCUAGAGUCCGGGAGAGGGUAGUGGAAUUCCAGGUGUAGGAGUGAAAUCCGUAGAGAUCUGGAGGAACAUCAGUGGCGAAGGCGACUACCUGGACCGGUACUGACGCUGAGGUGCGAAAGCGUGGGGAGCAAACAGG
rnacentral:rRNA from 1 species